rfam:Hordeum vulgare subsp. vulgare, WGS project CAJW01000000 data, contig: morex_contig_48173
CAUGUACUCCCUCCGCCCCAAAAUUCUUGUCUUAGGUUUAUCUAUAAAUGGAUGUAUCUAAAUACUAAAACAUGANNNGAUACAUUCAUAUCUAGACAAAUCUAAGACAAGAAUUUUGAGACGGUGAGAGUAUAAA